rnacentral:rRNA from 4 species
CCUACGGGAGGCAGCAGUAGGGAAUCUUCGGCAAUGGACGAAAGUCUGACCGAGCAACGCCGCGUGAGUGAAGAAGGUUUUCGGAUCGUAAAACUCUGUUGGUAGAGAAGAACGUUGGUGAGAGUGGAAAGCUCAUCAAGUGACGGUAACUACCCAGAAAGGGACGGCUAACUACGUGCCAGCAGCCGCGGUAAU